AACGAACGCUGGCGGCAGGCUUAACACAUGCAAGUCGAGCGCCCCGCAAGGGGAGCGGCAGACGGGUGAGUAACACGUGGGAAUCUACCCAUCUCUACGGAAUAACGCAUGGAAACGUGUGCUAAUACCGUAUACGUCCUUCGGGAGAAAGAUUUAUCGGAGAUGGAUGAGCCCGCGUUGGAUUAGCUAGUUGGUGGGGUAAAGGCCUACCAAGGCGACGAUCCAUAGCUGGUCUGAGAGGAUGAUCAGCAACACUGGGACUGAGACACGGACCAGACUCCUACGGGAGGCAGCAGUGGGGAAUAUUGGACAAUGGGCGCAAGCCUGAUCCAGCCAUGCCGCGUGAGUGAUGAAGGCCCUAGGGUUGUAAAGCUCUUUCACCGGUGAAGAUAAUGACGGUAACCGGAGAAGAAGCCCCGGCUAACUUCGUGCCAGCAGCCGCAGUAAGAC
rnacentral:rRNA from 1 species